CCGCCGGCGACCGGCGCACGGGUGAGUAACACGUAUGCAACCUGGCCGUGACAGGUGGAUAACCGGGAGAAAUCCCGCCUAAUACAACAUAAUGCCGGGAGGGGACAUCCCCUGCCGGCCAAAGGGGGCGACCCCGGUCACGGAUGGGCAUGCGGCGCAUUAGGUAGUUGGUGGGGCAACGGCCCACCAAGCCGACGAUGCGUAGGGGUUCUGAGAGGAAGGUCCCCCACAUUGGAACUGAGACACGGUCCAAACUCCUACGGAAGGCAGCAG
rnacentral:rRNA from 1 species